rnacentral:rRNA from 1 species
AUUGAACGCUGGCGGCAGGCUUAACACAUGCAAGUCGAGCGAGCGGCGGCCGGGUGAGUAAUGUCUGGGAAACCCUCUGAUGGAGGGGGAUAACUACUGGACACGGUAUAUAAUACCGCAUUCCCUCAAAUGUGCCCAUAUGGGCUUGGCGAGUAGGUGGGGUAAGGGCUCACCUAGGCGACGAUCCCUAGCUGGUCUGAGAGGAUGACCAGCCACACUGGAACUGAGACACGGUCCAGACUCCUACGGGAGGCAGCAGUGGGGAAUAUUGCACAAUGGGCGCAAGCCUGAUGCAGCCAUGCCGCGUGUGUGAAGAAGGCCUUCGGGUUGUAAAGCACUUUCAGCGAGGAGGCGUUACUCGCAGAAGAAGCACCGGCUAACUCCGUGCCAGCCGCCGCGGUAAUAC